UAAAACGUGAAGGAUAACGUUGCGUCAGCAACGGCCCGUAGGGCGAGGCAAAGCCGAGUCAUCCUGCACAACCCACCA
rnacentral:sRNA from 1 species